rnacentral:rRNA from 3 species
GGUGAGUAAUGCCUAGGAAAUUGCCCUGAUGUGGGGGAUAACCAUUGGAAACGAUGGCUAAUACCGCAUGAUGCCUACGGGCCAAAGAGGGGGACCUUCGGGCCUCUCGCGUCAGGAUAUGCCUAGGUGGGAUUAGCUAGUUGGUGAGGUAAUGGCUCACCAAGGCGACGAUCCCUAGCUGGUCUGAGAGGAUGAUCAGCCACACUGGAACUGAGACACGGUCCAGACUCCUACGGGAGGCAGCAGUGGGGAAUAUUGCACAAUGGGCGCAAGCCUGAUGCAGCCAUGCCGCGUGUAUGAAGAAGGCCUUCGGGUUGUAAAGUACUUU